UACGGAGGGAGCUAGCGUUGUUCGGAAUUACUGGGCGUAAAGCGCGCGUAGGCGGCUUUGUAAGUUAGAGGUGAAAGCCUGGAGCUCAACUUCAGAAUUGCCUUUAAGACUGCAUCGCUUGAAUCCGGGAGAGGUGAGUGGAAUUCCGAGUGUAGAGGUGAAAUUCGUAGAUAUUCGGAAGAACACCAGUGGCGAAAGCGGCUCUCUGGACCGUAACUGACGCUGAGACACGAAAGCGUGGGGAGCAAACAGG
rnacentral:rRNA from 1 species